rnacentral:rRNA from 1 species
AGUCGAGGGGUAACAGGGAGUGCUUGCACUCCGCUGACGACCGGCGCACGGGUGCGCAACGCGUAUGGAACCUGCCCUUUACAGGGGAAUAGCCCAGAGAAAUUUGGAUUAAUGCCCCAUAGUACCCUUUGCAGCAUUGCGAGGAGGUUAAAGGCUUCGGCCGGUAAGGGAUGGCCAUGCGUACCAUUAGUUAGUUGGCAAGGUAACGGCUUACCAAGACAUCGAUGGUUAGGGGCCCUGAGAGGGGGAUCCCCCACACUGGUACUGAGACACGGACCAGACUCCUACGGGAGGCAGCAGUGAGGAAUAUUGGACAAUGGAGGAGACUCUGAUCCAGCCAUGCCGCGUGCAGGAAGAAUGCCCUAUGGGUAGUAAACUGCUUUUGUACGGGAAGAAACCCGCCUACGUGUAGGCGGCUGACGGUACCGUAAGAAUAAGGACCGGCUAACUCCGUGCCAGCAGCCGCGGUAAUACGGAGGGUCCGAGCGUUAUCCGGAAUUAUUGGGUUUAAAGGGUCCGUAGGCGGGCCGGUAAGUCAGAGGUGAAAGUCCAUAGCUCAACUAUGGAACUGCCUUUGAUACUGUCGGUCUUGAGUCAUGGUGAAGUGGGCGGAAUAUGUAGUGUAGCGGUGAAAUGCAUAGAUAUUACAUAGAACACCGAUUGCGAAGGCAGCUCACUAACCAUGUACUGACGCUGAUGGACGAAAGCGUGGGGAGCGAACAGGAUUAGAUACCCUGGUAGUCCACGCCGUAAACGAUGGAUACUAGCUGUCCGGUACCUUGAGUGCUGGGCGGCCAAGCGAAAGUGAUAAGUAUCCCACCUGGGGAGUACGUUCGCAAGAAUGAAACUCAAAGGAAUUGACGGGGGCCCGCACAAGCGGUGGAGCAUGUGGUUUAAUUCGAUGAUACGCGAGGAACCUUACCAGGGCUUAAAUGCAUUCUGACAGGGGUAGAGAUA